UACGUAGGGGGCGAGCGUUGUCCGGAUUUAUUGGGCGUAAAGAGCUCGUAGGCGGUUUGGCAAGUCGGGUGUGAAAACUCCGGGCUCAACUCGGAGACGCCACUCGAUACUGCCAUGACUCGAGUCCGGUAGGGGAGUGCGGAAUUCCUGGUGUAGCGGUGAAAUGCGCAGAUAUCAGGAGGAACACCGGUGGCGAGGGCGGCACUCUGGGCCGGUACUGACGCUGAGGAGCGAAAGCGUGGGGAGCGAACAGG
rnacentral:rRNA from 1 species